rnacentral:rRNA from 1 species
GAACCCGGUGACAGGUGCUGCAUGGCUGUCGUCAGCUCGUGUCGUGAGAUGUUGGGUUAAGUCCCGCAACGAGCGCAACCCUCGCCUUUAGUUGCCAGCAUUCAGUUGGGCACUCUAGAGGGACUGCCGGUGUCAAACCGGAGGAAGGUGGGGAUGACGUCAAGUCCUCAUGGCCUUUAUGUCUAGGGCUACACACGUACUACAAUGGCCGGUACAAAGGGCAGCCACUCAGCGAUGAGGCGCUAAUCCCAUAAAGCCGGUCUCAGUCCGGAUCGCAGUCUGCAACUCGACUGCGUGAAGUUGGAAUCCGUAGUAAUCGCGUUUCAACAGAACGCGGUGAAUACGUCCCUGCUCCUU